rnacentral:rRNA from 1 species
GCGAAGCCGCGAGGUGGAGCCAAUCCUAAAAAGCCGGUCUCAGUUCGGAUUGCAGGCUGCAACUCGCCUGCAUGAAGUCGGAAUUGCUAGUAAUCGCGGAUCAGCAUGCCGCGGUGAAUACGUUCCCGGGUCUUGUACACACCGCCCGUCACACCACGAGAGUUUACAACACCCGAAGUCGGUGAGGUAACCGCAAGGAGCCAGCCGCCGAAGGUGGGGUAGAUGAUUGGGGUGAAGUCGUAACAAGGUAGCCGUAUCGGAAGGUGCGGCUGGAUCACCUCCUUUCUAUGGAGA